GACGAACGCUGGCGGCGUGCUUAACACAUGCAAGUCGAACGAUGAACCCGGAGCUUGCUCUGGGGGAUUAGUGGCGAACGGGUGAGUAACACGUGAGUAACCUGCCCUGGACUCUGGGAUAAGCGUUGGAAACGACGUCUAAUACCGGAUAGGACCUUGGAUCGCAUGAUCUGGGGUGGAAAGUUUUUUCGGUCUGGGAUGGACUCGCGGCCUAUCAGCUUGUUGGUGAGGUAAUGGCUCACCAAGGCGUCGACGGGUAGCCGGCCUGAGAGGGUGACCGGCCACACUGGGACUGAGACACGGCCCAGACUCCUACGGGAGGCAGCAGUGGGGAAUAUUGCACAAUGGGCGAAAGCCUGAUGCAGCAACGCCGCGUGCGGGAUGACGGCCUUCGGGUUGUAAACCGCUUUUAGUAGGGAAGAAGAGCUUCGGCUUGACGGUACCUGCAGAAAAAGGACCGGCUAACUACGUG
rnacentral:rRNA from 1 species